AUUGAACGCUGGCGGCAGGCUUAACACAUGCAAGUCGAGCGGGGAAAGGUAGCUUGCUACCUGACCUAGCGGCGGACGGGUGAGUAAUGCUUAGGAAUCUGCCUAUUAGUGGGGGACAACAUUCCGAAAGGAAUGCUAAUACCGCAUACGCCCUACGGGGGAAAGCAGGGGAUCCUCGGACCUUGCGCUAAUAGAUGAGCCUAAGUCAGAUUAGCUAGUUGGUGGGGUAAAGGCCUACCAAGGCGACGAUCUGUAGCGGGUCUGAGAGGAUGAUCCGCCACAUUGGGACUGAGACACGGCCCAGACUCCUACGGGAGGCAGCAGUGGGGAAUAUUGGACAAUGGGCGAAAGCCUGAUCCAGCCAUGCCGCGUGUGUGAAGAAGGCCUUUUGGUUGUAAAGCACUUUAAGCGAGGAGGAGGCUACUUGGAUUAAUACUCUAGGAUAGUGGACGUUACUCGCAGAAUAAGCACCGGCUAACUCUGUGCCAGCCGCCGCCGUAAGAC
rnacentral:rRNA from 1 species